ensembl:lncRNA
CCACAUGGAGGCGCUGUGGGCGCUGCAGGCCGCACGGCUGCAGGGUCUGCAGCAGCAGUGGGAGCGUGCCCUGGAGGACGUCAGCGCCAGCGUCAGCUCUCAGAGGCAGCAGAUGUUGGAGCAGUCUCAGCAGCAGGAGAUCCAGCUGCAGGAGCUGACCCUGACGGCGGAGUUGCACAACACGGACGCCAUGAAUGACAUCAGGAUGCUGCUCGAGGACACGCUGGCGAUGUACACGUGCUCUCUGGAGGAGCAGGUGGCUGCUCUGGAGGGCAGGGAGGAGGUGAGUGACGCCACCCAGACGAGCUUAGAGCACCUGCAGAAAAGUAUCGUCAAGGUAACGCAGCUCGAGAAGCAGCUCGCAGACAAACAGAAGAAGAUCAGCGAAGACUUGAAGACCACCAAGAAGCUGGAGGACGCCGUCCGCAGGCUGAGGGAGAAGAUGAUCUCCAACAAGGCAGAAAACAGCUCGCUGGAAGAGGACCUGACCGCCACCAUACAUGAGCUCAACUGCAGGUCUCACGCACUCCAGGACCACCUGACCCAGUCGCACACGGCGGCGAGGAAGAGGCUCACCGAGCUCACCGUCCAGGGUGACGCCGCCGCCAAGAACCUGCAGGCCGUCGUCACCAAGGGCGAGAGGGUUCUACGGGCCGCGGACAUCUGCCACCGGCUGGAGACGCAACACGACACGUUACUGACAUCAUCAUCAUCACAACGCACAGACGAGUGCCAACAGGACACGCCAGCAAAGGACGUCUGUAGGUUCCCGGAACUGCAGCAGCUGCGGCGGAGCUGCAGCAGUGCUGUGCUGCAGCGUGAAGCUCUGAGGAAGCACAGCAAGGACCUGAGGCGUGAGAACGAACAGCUGCAGCUUUUGCUGCGUCAGCAUGACCACCACGCCCACUUGCCCCCGCUCCACGUGGCCCGAGCUCCGACCACCACCAGCACCACACCUGCUGCGAGGGGUAGGAGCCACGUCACGGUCAUCGAAGCUGCCCACGCCGUCUUGAAGCAGUGACUAAUUAAAAUGUGUUCGCCAUGACGACCAGUAGGACGACUCCUGAUGUGCUUUGAGCUUUCUUGCUAAAGGGGCGUGUCCAUAUAGGAGGGACCGGC